rnacentral:rRNA from 1 species
AACGUAGGACGCAAGCGUUAUCCGGAGUUACUGGGCGUAAAGCGCGGGCAGGCGGCUUCGCAAGUCUGGUGUGAAAUCUCUCAGCUCAACUGAGAGCAGCCACUGGAAACUACGGAGCUGGAGUCUGGCAGAGGUAGGCGGAAUUCCGGGUGGAGUGGUGAAAUGCGUAGAGAUCCGGAGGAACACCAGAGGCGAAGGCGGCCUACUGGGCCAGUACUGACGCUGAGCCGCGAAAGCCAGGGGAGCGAACGGG